rnacentral:rRNA from 1 species
CACGCAGGGCGCAAGCGUUGUCCGGAAUUAUUGGGCGUAAAGAGCUCGUAGGCGGUGUGUCACGUCGGCCGUGAAAACCUGCAGCUUAACUGUGGGCGUGCGGUCGAUACGGGCAUCACUGGAGUUCGGCAGGGGAGACUGGAAUUCCUGGUGUAGCGGUGAAAUGCGCAGAUAUCAGGAGGAACACCGGUGGCGAAGGCGGGUCUCUGGGCCGAUACUGACGCUGAGGAGCGAAAGCGUGGGGAGCAAACAGG